GUUAGACAGACUGAUUAAGAAAACCAACACUUCAGGGAUACAAUAAAAAAGAUGCUGCCAUCACAUGGCUGAGUCCAUGGGUCUUUUCUGCGUGUAACAAUGAGAGGAAAUGAAUCACGGGGGCCGGGAGGGGCAGAGAUCUUGGAAAUCACCUUCGUUUUCAGUGGAAGGGAGUUAGGUUGUGCUUCCCCAAGGAGCACAACAAAUAUCUUCUGGAUUUCUUUUACAGAUUUUUAUAACUUUUAAUAAUUCCUAUUGUGGAGGCCAUGUCUAAACUAGAGAAAGUAUAAUACUCUCCAGAGACCUAAUGAAAUGAAAUAAUGCACACACAGAGAGUGCUUCACACAGUUCCUAGCACACAAUACUGUGUUAAGUGCUGGAGGCACAAAGAUAAAGAAGACUUACAUCUCUGUUCUCAAGUCGGGGUGACAAAUACAGAAACAGAAUUAUAACUCAGUGUGCUUCUGAACCAGUUUUCCAUUACAGCAGCCAAGAAG